GAAGGAAGUCUGGGACCAUGGGUCUUUUCUCUCAGAGCAGGAAGCCAGAAGAUCAGCAUCUCUCUUCUUUCAAUCUUUCAACAACUCUGUCCUCUGGGAAGUCGAGGAUCAUUGAGUAAUCAAUCUUCACCGAGGAGGUUGUCCCAAACGCUUGGAAUACUGUCCUUCCUUGUUUCCGUGGACUAGACAAUGCAGCAAAGCGACAUCAGCAGAGAGACGUGGAAGCCAGCUGAAUGAGAGAGGACCAAUGACACCACGGAUGAUGUCUCGUUUCACGGGUGAAUUGGAUUUAAGUGAGGCAGAGGCACAAAAUCCUCCACCUCGUUCUCUCUGAGUCAUUGAAGUCCAGGGGCAAGACAAAAGUCAAG